GUGGGUUAAGAGCAGUAACCUUAUGGCUAUACGACUCUUUCCUAAAACAGUUCCAGUCAAAGAGUUGUUGGUACUUGACUUCGACGAUUCAUUCAUCAAGGUGUAAUUUAAGUGUUUUAAGUUUGUUCAUAAAGAGCGAAAACCUGUGUUCGAGUGAAAGGUUAGUAGGUUAGGGUUUACACACAGUGAAAGUAUAGCCUACCGAUUCUUUUCAUCUAGAUGGUUUCAGGCAAGAAGUGUUAGAAAAGUUACUGCAUAGAUAACUUGCUUGUAGCUUAUUCAGUGUCCAUAGUAACGUUGCUUUGUGAUUCUUUGAUGUCGGAUAUUCUUAUCAUUGCAAAGUAAAAUCCGCUAGAUGUUGGAUUGUGACUUCAACGGAUUUUGACCGAUAUGAUGCUAGUCCUUUGCUCGCUUUGCCUUACUG
rnacentral:ncRNA from 1 species